rnacentral:rRNA from 1 species
GAUGAACGCUGGCGGCGUGCCUAAUACAUGCAAGUCGAGCGAACGGACGAGAAGCUUGCUUCUCUGAUGUUAGCGGCGGACGGGUGAGUAACACGUGGAUAACCUACCUAUAAGACUGGGAUAACUUCGGGAAACCGGAGCUAAUACCGGAUAAUAUUUUGAACCGCAUGGUUCAAAAGUGAAAGACGGUCUUGCUGUCACUUAUAGAUGGAUCCGCGCUGCAUUAGCUAGUUGGUAAGGUAACGGCUUACCAAGGCAACGAUGCAUAGCCGACCUGAGAGGGUGAUCGGCAACACUGGAACUGAGACACGGUCCAGACGCCUACGGGAGGCAGCAGUAGGGAAUCUUCCGCAAGGGGCGAAAGCCUGACGGAGCAACGCCGCGUGAGUGAUGAAGGUCUUCGGAUCGUAAAACUCUGUUAUGAGGGAAGAACAUAUGUGUAAGUAACUGUGCACAUCUUGACGGUACAUAAUCAGAAAGCCACGGCUAACUAC